AGUGAACGCUGGCGGUAGGCCUAACACAUGCAAGUCGAACGGCAGCACAGUAAGAGCUUGCUCUUACGGGUGGCGAGUGGCGGACGGGUGAGGAAUACAUCGGAAUCUACUUUUUCGUGGGGGAUAACGUAGGGAAACUUACGCUAAUACCGCAUACGACCUACGGGUGAAAGCAGGGGAUCUUCGGACCUUGCGCGAUUGAAUGAGCCGAUGUCGGAUUAGCUAGUUGGCGGGGUAAAGGCCCACCAAGGCGACGAUCCGUAGCUGGUCUGAGAGGAUGAUCAGCCACACUGGAACUGAGACACGGUCCAGACUCCUACGGGAGGCAGCAGUGGGGAAUAUUGGACAAUGGGCACAAGCCUGAUCCAGCCAUACCGCGUGGGUGAAGAAGGCCUUCGGGUUGUAAAGCCCUUUUGUUGGGAAAGAAAAGCAGCAGGUUAAUACCCCGCUGUUCUGACGGUACCCAAAGAGUAAGCACCGGCUAACUUCGUG
rnacentral:rRNA from 1 species